UUUAAAAAUUUGUAUAGGGGUGAAAUGUUAAUCGGUUUUAUUGAUAUCUAGUAACUUUUGAAAUAAAUUUAGUUUAAGGCAGUAUAGAAGGUUUUUAUUUUUAAAAUUUUUUUAGAGUGUUUUUAGUUCUCGGGGGAUGAGCUCCGGGAAUAAUAUAUAAGAAUGGAAGUUUGUUGUUUUUUGUUUAGGCUUAGAAUUGGCCAUUAGAUAGUGUUAUAAGAUAGAAGCUUAGGAUUAAGAUUUAAUAUUCUUUUUUUAGAAAGAAGUUAUCCCUGAAAUAAAUUUUGGGGAGAAAAUAUGAUAGCAUUAGUAGAUGGGAUAAAUAAGUGGCUCAUGUUUAAGUCAGUCAUUGAUUAUUUUUCUAAAAAUUAUAGUAAAAGAAUUCGGCAAAUAGGAUUUCCGAAUGUUUAACAAAAACAUUUCUUCUUGACGUAAGAGGUAAGGCCUGCUCACUGAGUUUUAAAGAGCCGCAGUAUUUUGACUGUGCUAAGGUAGCAUAAUCAUUAGUCUUUUAAUUGGGGACUGGUAUGAAUGGCUAAACGAGAGAUCUUCUUUUUUUAUUAUAGGAAUUUAAUUUAACUUUUUAGUGAAAAGACUAAGAUGAUUUAGAAAGACGAGAAGACCCUAUAGAGUUUUGUAUAAUAAAGAAUUUUGUUUUAUUAGUAGUAGACGAAUGAAGUUUGGUUUUAUACUUUGUUGGGGCGACAUUGAGAUACAAGAAACUCUUAAUUUUAAAAACUUUAAUAAAGGAAUUGCUUGACCCUCUAU
rnacentral:rRNA from 1 species